AGGAGUGGCGGCCCUUUCUUCUAAUCCUGGCUUCUCAGUCCACAAGCCAACCUCCUCUCCUCUCCAUAAGCUACCUCUCUCUCUCUCUCUCUCUCUCUCUCUCUCUCUCUCUCUGUGCUCAAGAUCACAUCCCUCAGGUUCAUUAGCUUGAUGAUGCUGUGGUGAUCAAACUGUGUGAUUUAAUGAAAUAUUGUGUUCAUUAGUGAUGAACUUUAGGUUUCCUAGUAAUGUCCCCUGGUUUGGGGCAAAUUCAAACAAUGAUUUGGAGACAGCCGUUAAAACAGCAGGCGUCCUAAGCAAAUCAACCAAAGAAAGGGCUUUUUUUGAUGUGAAGCUGUGGGGAUGGUCCCUCCUCUCAAUUGUUCCUUGGGCUAUCAGUGCCAGAGACAAAAUCUGGAAAUUGUCUACUUUAAAUAAAGAGUUGAAGAAGCCCUCACGACGUUAUCGGACUGUUGAAUAUGGUAGCAGGCCCUCUCCUGUACGAUUUAGACCAUAUGUUGGCAAGGUCCCAUGGCAUACAGGUGCAAGAGCCUUCCUUUCUCAGCUAUUUCCACGAUAUGGGCAUUACUGUGGACCUAACUGGUCGAGUGGGAAGGAUGGUGGUUCCCUUCUUUGGGAUAAACGUCCAAUUGAUUGGUUAGACUUUUGCUGCUAUUGCCAUGACAUUGGUUAUGACACUCAUGAUCAGGCCAGCCUUCUGAAGGCUGACUUAGCUUUUCUGGAAUGCCUGGAGAGGCCUCAGAUGAGUACAAAGGGAGAUCCUCAUGUUGCUCAGCUUUAUAAGACAAUGUGCAUCACUGGUCUCAAGAAUGUACUAAUACCAUAUAGAAGACACCUUGUAGACUUGAGGUCAGAGCAAUCCAAUAUUUUGUUUGGUUGGCUAAGCAAUGUAAAAUGGAGAGGUUGGAACCCUCCUGGAGAAAGUUGAAAUCGUAGAUAUGACACAGUUCCUCCAAUGGGGAAUUGCAGAAGAUGGAUUUUAACCGAACACUCAACUCUUGACAGAUUAUUGGUUGAAGACUUCUUGCUUGACUACAAAAUUAUAUAAAUGCAGUUCACUUUCAACCAUCUCGUUAUCAUAUGGUUCACAAUUCAUAACCUUAUAGCAGUCAAUUCAUGAGCUUUGUCUGGAUGAUCGUACACUUUAUUCAAGGAAACAACUUGAAGAUAUUCUGCUUAUAUUUGAAUGCAUUCCCUUUCUUCCCUUUCUUCCCUUUCAGAUUCAUUUUUAGAUAUAUAGUUACUAUAAAGGACAACACCAUGUCCAUCUUCUUAUUCAGGCAAGUGUAAGACCCAAAGUUUUUAGACCUGCAACCUCAAAGCUUUCAAUUGAAUUAAGCUUGCAUGGGCCAAGACCAAGUUGGCUAUGAUUGGGGAUUUAAUCCUUAUUUUUCCUUUUUGUUUUUCUAAGAUGUAGAAUUCAUUUUGCUGGGUAACUGUCUAAGGCACUUGAUUGACCAUACUUUAGUUCAUGUUUCAGAGAAAUGGCUGAUUCUGAAGCAGAGAUAGGCCCUGUAAUGUAAUUUUUGUUCAUAGUUGAAAGCGCUCUGUGUGCAAUUUUUGUUCACAUUCGAAAGCUCAAAAAAUUGAUAGUCUCCCAUGGCAUAGACAGGAAGUAAAUUGGAGCACCUCAUUGCAGUGAUGGGAGUGCUGGUUGUAUUUGUUGAUAGGAAACUAACUCAACCAUAAUGAGCAAGCAGCAUAAGUUGAUAAACCCUUUUUAUCCUUAGCUAUAUAUUGGCUCAGAACAAGGUUUUUAUUUUUUUUUGGUUAGAAAAAUUGGUGGUGUCCAUGGGUGCUAUUGGGAAGUAUCAUCGGUUAUUCUGGUGCAGAUCAAAUUACUGGUAGUAUCUGAUGGUUUACAGUGCUACUGUAACUCACAUGGCUCAUGCUAUAAGUUGGUAAGAGUUAAGCAAGAAAAGGUUUCUAUCAAAUGUUGCAUUCAAAAGGCUAAUAUUGAAGAAUAUAUUUGAAAACCGUAUGGUGAUACAGAUGGUUGAGGGAAAGGGGAAAAUGCAAUGGAGCAGAAAUGAGUUGGAUGCAAGAAGCCCUUGUGAGGCAAUAGGGCUAUGUGGUUAUUUUUGUAGAGUUUGUUGUGUUUAGGCAUUUAAGUCCUUGUUAACUAGCAAUGGUGCUAGGGCUACAACACACUUAUUGUGUUUGAUUAAAGUUAAUAGUUUGAGAUGGAGGACAAAUUUUGAUCCAGGGGAGAAAAAAAAAAUUUGGACCAUUUCUCGAUUUGUGCGCGUCAUCCUUGCGCAGGGGCCAUGCUAAUCUUCUCUGUAUUGUUCCAAUUUUAUCGAAUGUCUCCGAAUAGAAGUUUUAGUGGGAGAGCUGGUACAUAUGAAGACAUUGCUGGCUUCAUAAUUUUUCGAUGUGGGACAACUCAAAAGGAGAACAACAUGGAACUCCAAUACCUUUCAUGGGGGCCCACAACCUGUAGGUGAGGUCUACUUCUCAGGUCUGACUUCUCAUUGCUUCUUUUGUUGUUUGCUUUGGUUGCUGAUAUAUUAUUUUUAUUUGUUUAUUUAAUUGUUGUAUUUUUAUCUUCCAAACAAUGAAAGAAAAAAUUCUCAAUUUUUUUAUUUGAUUUUGAAUGAACAAAAUUGAAGAAAAAAAUUAUAAUAAAAUAAAAAUUUUAAACUAGAAUAAUUGUGACAAAAGUUAGGAGGAGAGUGAAUGAAGAUUUAUUUGUUUAUAUUUUAUUUGGUUAGAACGCUCAAUGCUAAUAACUGCAUUCAUUAUUAUUUAGAUUCACAUGGUUGAAAAGGAUUCAGGGCUUAUUACAGAACUGAAAAACAAUUCUAUCCAAUUUUUUAAGGCUUCAUGGUUAGAAUUAUUGGUUUGAGUGAUUAGAGUUUUGAUUGGAACUUUAGUGGAAGGCCUGAAAGAAGUGAAAUCACAAGGUGUUCCUAACCUUAUGGUGGAUGAGAGAGAAUUUAUUGACAAAGCUUUCUUGGGUGUCUCAGGAAAAGGGAGGGUUAUGGAGAUAUAUACCCAUUGAUUUGAACCAGGGGGCUGAAAAGAUGGUGAAAGGCCUCUCAUCAAUUACCUUUUUUGGGGAGUUUCUCCUGAGAUUCUCCAUAUUUGGCUUCGAUUAUAGUGGUAGAUGUGGGGACAUCAUUCUGGUGCAGGUCAAUUUGCAGAUUGAUAACAAUCAUCUGGUGGCUUAUAAUGCUUCUGCAAUUAUAAGGUAGGGCAUGUGCAUAUCACAAUUGACAGACUAAUAAUAAAUGAUACAUUAUUUGUAAGUAAUGACUAUGACCCAAUUGCACUCUUAUAUGGAUCCAGUAACCCUUUGGAUAUGGGAUUUCUAGUUC